rfam:Yarrowia lipolytica CLIB122 chromosome E complete sequence
GGUCGUGUGGUGUAAUGGUUAUCACGUCCCGCUCACACCGGGGAGGCUCGGAGUUCGAUCCUCCGCAUGAUCA